ACUACCUAGGUGACGAUACAUAUGCCAUAUGCCAUAUGCCAUCCUCCGCUUCCGACAAGACUAUACGCUUCUCUGCGAUAGUGCUCUCGCGCGGGGCUUUGCGCCGAUGUAAAAGGCAUACAUUUGUGACUUCGUUUUAUGAAGCGUGAUAACCUUGAAACAGCCUGAAUGCAUCUCCCACGCGCCUGCGUGUAUAAGACAUAAUAACAAUAAUAGGCUCUGAGGAAAGAAUCAAGGAACGUAUUGGCUGCCAAUAUCUCCUCAACACUUCUCUCCAACACUGCCAGUGUUCAACCCCGCGAACCUCAUCCUGAACCACCAUUUGCACGCUCACAUACCAGUUUGAUACCAUGGC
rnacentral:sRNA from 1 species